rnacentral:tRNA from 1 species
AGGCGCGUAGCUCAGUGGUAGAGCACUACCUUGACACGGUAGGGGUCGGCGGUUCGAAACCGCCCGUGCCUA